rnacentral:rRNA from 1 species
GGGUAGGGGUGAAAUUCCAAUCGAACUUGGAGAUAGCUGGUUCUCCUCGAAAUAGCUUUAGGGCUAGCGUGUAAUGUUAAGUGAUGGGGGUAGAGCACUGAAUAUGGAAUGGCGGCGCCUAGCCGUACUGACUAUAAUCAAACUCCGAAUACUAUCAUGUACUAUUAUGCAGUCGGUACAUCGGUGAUAACGUCGAUGCACGCGAGGGAAACAACCCAGAUCGUCAGCUAAGGUCCCAAAAUUGUGUUAAGUGAGAAAGGUUGUGAAGUUUCUUAAACAGCUAGGAUGUUGGCUCAGAAGCAGCCACCAUUUAAAGAGUGCGUAAUAGCUCACUAGUCGAGAGACUUUGUGCCGAUAAUUCAACGGGACUAAAACACAAUACCGAAGCUACGGGCAUGUAAAUGCGUUAGAGGAGCGUUCUAAGGGCAUUGAAGCUAGACUGUAAAGACUAGUGGAGCGCUUAGAAGUGAGAAUGCCGGUAUGAGUAACGAUUCAAAGUGAGAAUCUUUGACGCCUAUUGGGGAAGGUUUCCUGGGCAAGGUUCGUCCACCCAGGGUUAGUCGGGUCCUAAGACGAGGCCGAAAGGCAUAGCCGAUGGACAACAGGUUAAUAUUCCUGUACUUUCUUGAAUGUGAUGGAGUGACGGGGGAGGAUAGUUUUACCACUUAUUGGAUUGUGGGGUAAGUAGAGACUGGGUGAUGUUGGCAAAUCCGCAUCACAUUAACCGGAACAUACGAUGCAUAGUGAAAGGGUAACCAAGUAGCGAAUUAAAUGAUUUCAUACCUCUUAAAAAAGCUUCUAGCUAUAAAUUCUGUGAAACCCGUACCGAGAACGGACACACGUCCCCAAGAUGAGUAUUCUAAGGCGAGCGAGAAAACCAAUGUCAAGGAACUCUGCAAAUUCAUCCCGUAAGUUCGCAAGAAGGGAUGCCCAUAGUAACAUAUGGGCCGCAGUGAAUAGUAAGGGGGAACUGUUUAUCAAAAACACAGCUCUAUGCUAAGUCGUAAGACGAUGUAUAUGGGGUGACUCCUGCCCAGUGCCCGAAGGUUAAGCAAAGGUGUUAGCGUAUGCGAAGCAUUGAUGUGAAGCCCGGGUGAACGGCGGCCGUAACUAUAACGGUCCUAAGGUAGCGAAAUUCCUUGUCGGCUAAAUACUGACCUGCACGAAAGGAGUAAUUAUCUCUUAACUGUCUCGACAUUGGACUCGGUGAAAUUAUGGUUGCGGCGAAGACGCCGCAUACCCGCAUCUAGACGAAAAGACCCCGUGGAGCUUUACUAUAACUUCAUAUUGGAGUUUGAAUUAACUUGUGUAGGAUAGGUGGGAGACUUUGAAGCAAGGACGCUAGUUCUUGUGGAGUCAUCGUUGAAAUACCACCCUUGUUACUUUGAACUUCUAACUUGUUACCAUUAUCUGGUAAGAGGACAGUGUGUGGUGGGUAGUUUGACUGGGGCGGUCGCCUCCCAAAAUGUAAC